CACAUAAAAAUAAGAAUUAACUCCAAUUCUCUCUCUCUCUCUCUCUCUCUCUCUCUCUUUUCUCUUAAAGAUUAAACCAGCAACCUUAAAGUUUUCUAGGGUUCUUGAAGAAACCCUCAUAUCUGCAAACCAAGUGUGAAGGGAAGCAUAAGUUCUAAAAGAAUUCAAGUUAUAAGGAGAAGUUGCCGAAAUUGAGGCACAUGUAAUCCAACUAGUAGACCUUUCUCAGUAGGAGCAUAUGACACUGUGCAACUUUUGGUGAGCUCCAGUAUGAAGGGAAGCUGAAGUUCUAAAAGAAUUCAAGUUAUAAGGAGUUGCCAAAAUUGAGGUGGCAGCCCAAGGGUGAAAGCUAGCAUGGGUCGAUCCCAACUGGUACAUAAGGGUGGCAGCUCAGGGGAGAAAGCCUAGCAUGGGCCAAUCCCAAAUUGUGUAAUUAUGAGGACCGCAACCCACGGGUUAAUAUGCCUAGCAUGGGUCAUCCUCUUCCACCACUGAUUAGCUUGUCACUUGUAUAAAAUGCCCUACAAAGAUUAUAACGUACACAAAAGUAAAGAAAACAAUGUAACUUACAUGAUCUCACAAGAAUAAGCAAAGGCACAUGCACUCCAGCUAGUAGACCUCUUCAGUAGGAACAUACGACACUAUGAUACUUUUGGUGAGCUCCAGGUUGAUUUGGAGCUUUACUAAGUCCUUGGUAAAUACAUGUUGGUAUUGUAUUGUAGUGAAGAUUACUCAUUUAGGUGAUGGAGGAUUAUUCCAUCAUUUAUCUUAAAGAGGUAGUUAGAAUUCAUGGAUUUGCAUUGUCAAUUAUUUCAUAUAGAGGUGCACAAUUUACUGCACAAUUUUUGAGGUCAUUUCUGAAAGGCUAGGGUUCAAAGGUGAACUUGAGUACGACUUUUCUUCCUCAGACUAACGGUCAAGCAGAGCAUACUAUUAAAACUUUAGAAAAUAUUUUGAGGGCUUGUUUAAUUGAUAUCAAAGGUAACAUCCGGGUUUACCCCGUAGACAUAACCGGCAUCUUCGUCAUUUUUAAGGUCUAAGACUAGCGUCUUAGUCUCAUGUCAUUACAUUCAUAGUUUUAAAAUUACGGAAAAAUUUAAAACUUUCAUUAUAACUAGUUGGAGGUUUACAUAGACCUCUACAUACACAUAAUAUAUAAUCAUAUCGAGUAUACAUACACCCUUCGUAUAGGAAGGUUGCAUAGCCUUCUACUCUUAUUGUGCAUACAUAUAUAUAAAAUAUAAAUAUAGUCUCAACGAUUGUCUCAUCUCAUACAAUCUACACGAUUAUCACAAUAUGGGCAUAACCCUUACAUCAAUUCAACAAGACAACAUAUAGGUCAUACAAAAGUAUAAUACUCAAUUGAAAAGGGAAAGAAAUGAAAGAAUCUUUUAACUCAGAACAAGUCCGUAAGAUAGAUUGUGGCAUUGACCUCGGAAGUUGAGGACCUACCCCACUUUGAUGAAAUGAAGAAUCCAAGCCUUCAAUAAUGUCUCCUUCAAAACUCUUCAACGACCGGAACAUAAAAUGUUUGAAAAAAGAGAAUAAAAUGGGGUUAGUACUCCACAUGUACUAAGUAUGAGACCUUAUGCAUAUAUACAAGCAAAAUACGCUAAAAAGGGACUCUUAGUCCAAACAUGCCAUUUUACCCCUUUAGGAACCUAGUGCAAAGCCAAACCAAUCGUAUCAACCAGCCAAACAUGCUUACGAUCUCAAUAAGUAAUACUUAUCCCAACAUACUUGAACCCAUAAUUUAAUACAACCCUAUUAUCAAGGAAUAACAUUACAAGAAUGAAUAAGAGUCAAUUAUAACAUAAUAAGAAAGACCCUACUCAUGAAUCCUUAUCAAGUCAACAAGUGCAAUGACAAAGCAAUGCCACAUAACCUCACUCAAUCAAGUAUCCUCAACAAGAAAGCAUGACCAAUGUCCAACUUUACAUAACAUAUCAUUUAGAUUUACACUUCAUAUUAUGUUAACAUUAUAACCCAAGGCAUAUUCAUAAAUGAACUGAUCAACAUAUAGUAUGAACAAUAUGCCAAGGUCAUCAUAUGUAUAUCAUAUAUCAUCAUAAUAUAAACAUAUAUAAGAACCUCCUCCUAAGAGUCCCCUCAAGGAUAACUAGUGCAAUGCUUAGGUAGAGUCCCAUAACUCUACCUAGACUAAUAUAGAACUUGUAGGUUAUCCAAGUUAGAGUUCAAGUCCUUUAAUUCAUUAUACCUUUUGGGAACAUCUUGCCCUAACCGAUAUAGAUUACAUGAGCUAGUGUGGAAUCCGGUGUCAUAAAACCCAACACCGAAAGUAGGCGGACUACUUGCCAAAGUAGUACCAAAACAUAAAACAUAGGAACUAUGUGGAUCCACUAGCUUACUUCUUAUGGGGGUAACAUGGUUCAAGAACUAGGAGAUAUAAUUGGGACCCUCUUUAUGCACCAUGGAUUAUACUCUCCAAUCUCAACAGUAAUGUAGUGAUCCUACCUUCCCUAGGUGGGAAGGGAAACUCUUCAAUCUAGUCUACUCGGUGAUAAGAUAGAGUCCCUUUUUGAAAUAUCUUUAAGCCUUUAAUUACCAAUCAUAGCUUAGUUUAGAUCAUAGGGUUUAUCCCUUGUAAAAUCAUCAUUAUCAAUAGCUCCAUAAGAAUUGUAUGAGUAUAAGUCCUUUUAUCUCAAUUCAUAUAAGUGAGGUUAACACAUUAGCAAUUCGUAGCAUAUCAAGGAUUAUUGGUAGUUUUAACAAUCCUAUAUCACAUACACCUUAAUCAACCUCACAACAUAGUCAAGACAUUUCAAUUGAACAUCAUACAACACUAUCAUCCAGUAUAAGUCGUACUCCAAUGUAACAUCAUGACUUAAGCACAAUUAAUCACAAUUGAAAGUAAAGAUAGAGAUUCUAAGACUUACCAAGUCUUCCUCAUAGUUCAUAAUCAAGGUCUUACCAUCAAACCAUAACUAAACCCAUUUCGGGAGUAAAAUCAUCACACCAUGAUAACCAAUAAGAUAACAAGGCCAAUUGCGUCUCGAGAACCCAAUUCAACACUAGAUCAUAUUUUAAGACAAGAUAUAUAGGAUAAUAUCACAAUAUACUUCAUAACCUAAAUAUUAUCUCAAGAAAUAGAAUGAUAACCAUAGGAUAGUUAUCUAAUCAAUAGCCAAGACAAUUGAAUGAUCACCAUAUAAUAUAGAUCAAUAUCAGAACCCAGGGUUAGGGAUUGAGGAUCAUGUUCUUCAAUUUAGAUGAAACCAUUAAAAAUUACCAUAAACAAGUUAAAUCACAUGUUAAUCUAUUCAAGAUAACAUACAUAAAUAAUAAAUAGCUCAAUCCAUAACUUCAAUUUCGUAAUUUGAUGAAACCCAUAAGGAAACUCAACUUUUGAAAUCCAUUUUGAAGGAACCCUUUGAGGAAAGAGUCUCAAAGGUGAAUUAGAUCCCAUACCUUAAUGUUUGAUAACAAUGUGGUGAUAAAUUCAUCCCUUUUACAUCCCCAAACCAUUUUCCUUGGUAGUCUUCAAUGGUGAGUUCAAGUAGAGAUAGAAAGAAGAGAGAAAUCAGAGAGCUUAUGUUUGAGAAUUGUCUUAGAUUAAUGAGGGUUGGAAGUAUUUAUAUUGGGUCUUGAAUCAACUUAAUUAGACUCCCUUAACCCCUAAUUAAACCACCUAUCCCCUAACUAAUUAAAUGAGACCAACUUAAUUUAAGCAGAAAACUUGACAGUCAUAGACAAGACCCCGAACAACGGGCCGUCUGUGAGUCGACAGACCCUUCCCCUUUCGUCCAGCACUCUCUCGAUGAGUGCAGAAAUUGUUUAGGCGAGGGGCUUCCACAUCAUUUUUAAGUAUGGGACAACGGUAGAAUGGACGCCCCGUUUGUCCACUCACAACCCGUCUAUUGCCCCGUCGAUGCACACUGCCAGGUAGUGUUGCUUCAAAUGCUAGGGUCCUCUCCAAGGGCCCUUAGUCGGUCCUUGGGGAGUUGUACCAGGACGUUUCCACCACGUAACAACCUAAACACCUAUAAGAUACCCUUCCACCAAUUUUCGUACAUUUCCUACUCCUAAAA